AGAGUUUGAUCAUGGUUCAGGACGAACGCUGGCGGCGUGCUUAACACAUGCAAGUUGAGCGGAAAGGCCCUUCGGGGUACUCGAGCGGCGAACGGGUGAGUAACACGUGAGCAAUCUGCCCCUAGCUUUGGGAUAGCUCCGGGAAACCGGAAUUAAUACCGAAUAUGACCACGGCCGACAUCAGCUGUGGUGGAAAGCUU
rnacentral:rRNA from 1 species